rnacentral:ncRNA from 1 species
GUAACAACGAACUGUGAGAAGUCAGCAGAAGCCAUAGUACGGAAAAAAAAUAUAUAUCCGGAAGGGC